GCGCUGGUGGUGUAAGGCGAACAUCGCUGCCCGGAAAGCAGAAGAUACGGGUUCGAGUCCCGCCUGGCGCA
rnacentral:tRNA from 1 species